UCAAAAGCGCAAUGAUAUAUACAACAAAGCAACUCAUCACAAUAAGCACAUAAUCCCGUACGUUAAUCAACUCAUAAAUACUUUGAAGUACCAGCAUUUCGAUUGUUAUCAACCUGUGCGUAAACAAGAGUGUCAGAGUUGGAGUUUGACAGAAUCACCUCCGGCUGCAUCCACAUAAGGCUUUGCUCCGUUUGAACCCCAUCCUUAGCCAGCGUGUCUGCAGCAUCAUUGGCAAACUUGGGUAUGCGCUUGAUGUGCCACUCUUGGACCUUAGAAAGAAGCUUGGAGACAUACCUAACGUGGGGUCCUUUUCUCCGAGGUACGUCGGUCGGAUUGAGGAUCCA
rnacentral:lncRNA from 1 species